rnacentral:rRNA from 1 species
UAAGGUUUUUCCGUAGGUGAACCUGCGGAAGGAUCAUUACUGAUUUGCUUAAUUGCACCACAUGUGUUUUUCUUUGAAACAAACUUGCUUUGGCGGUGGGCCCAGCCUGCCGCCAGAGGUCUAAACUUACAACCAAUUUUUUAUCAACUUGUCACACCAGAUUAUUACUAAUAGUCAAAACUUUCAACAACGGAUCUCUUGGUUCUCGCAUCGAUGAAGAACGCAGCGAAAUGCGAUACGUAAUAUGAAUUGCAGAUAUUCGUGAAUCAUCGAAUCUUUGAACGCACAUUGCGCCCUCUGGUAUUCCGGAGGGCAUGCCUGUUUGAGCGUCGUUUCUCCCUCAAACCGCUGGGUUUGGUGUUGAGCAAUACGACUUGGGUUUGCUUGAAAGACGGUAGUGGUAAGGCGGGAUCGCUUUGACAAUGGCUUAGGUCUAACCAAAAACAUUGCUUGCGGCGGUAACGACUACCACGUAUAUCUUCAAACUUUGACCUCAAAUCAGGUAGGACUACCCGCUGAACUUAAGCAUAUCAAUAAGCGGAGGAA